rnacentral:lncRNA from 1 species
UUAAAACUUUUUAAAAGUGCUGACUGAGUAAAUCAACAACCUUGACAGAAAGAAAACACCAAAAUGAGUUCGCUUUUGUAGUUAUUUAUUCAUUCAUUCAUUGAGAAACCUGUGGGUAUGAAUCAGUCAGCUGGGUGGAGUGGCUCACCCUUGUAAUCCCAACACUUGGGGAAGCUGAGUCAGGCAGAUCACUUGAGGCCAGGAGUCUGAGAUC